CCGUGUCACCUUAUCGUUACUGACUUUGACGCACUUUAAAUAUAUUAUGCUUUGUGUACUCCAAUCGAAUGCAAACACAGUUUUAUUUUUAUUGAAAAUGUAAGAAAACACUUUCAAAAGUAUUUGAAUGUAAGGCAUCAACAUAACGGAUACUAAAGCAAUAACGGUGAGUAACUGGUGAAAUGAAUUUUCAAUUAUUUAUUCAGUUUUCAUUAAAAGACAGAGUUAUUAUAGACGCUCGCCAUCGACAGGGAAUUCAUCCUCACACGCUUGAACCUAAAUGGUCACGAACAGUGCAGUUUCAGAGGAAUUUUCUCCCACGAAAGCUCAGGCUGUGGAAUGAGCUCCCUGCCGAUGUUUUCCCCUAGAGACUACAGUAUGGGGUUCUUCAAAAAGGAUAUAUUAAGAUUUCUUUAAGGUUGACAACGUGCACGUGACACCCCUUGUGUUGCAGGCGUCCAUAUGCUACAGUGACCGUUUACCAUUAGACGGGCUGUAUGCUUGUUUACCUUUGUGGUAUAAAAAAAAAACAAAAAAGUUAGUCGUAGUGAGUAAAUCUGAAAUCCUAUAAAUAGUAACUAAUUCAGAAAUGGAAGAACUUCCAAACAACAAUAUAAUAAAGAUGAACGAACGACAGUUUUAUACGGGGACCAGAAUCGAGCAGAAGGUGAUAACUUUAAAAACUUGUCUUACCACAAAAAAAAGGUACACUUGCGAUUGACGCGUUCAAUGAAUACAUAUUUAAACGGCUUACUACAAAAGAGUAUUUGAUAUGUGUUUGUCUAAAUAAAGUCAUACAUACA